UUCUUUGUAGUCUAGUUGGUUAGGUAUUCGGCUCUCAUCCGAGAGACACUGGUUCAAGUUCCGGCAGCGAAA
rnacentral:tRNA from 1 species